UCAAUUCACAGGCAAUCGUAAUAUUACAAUCGUUUGAAAAAAUCCUUUCUGAAGUUGUAACAGUGUAACUUGAAUCCUUAUAAUUGAAAAAGGAAAUGUAUACGGUAUAUACCGUAUCCUGUUCCCGCGCACGCAACCAGAUUGACGAGAAAAGAGACAAAUGGGGAGAAAAGAGCCCGCAAAGAAGACUAAUGAUUAAUUACAUUUCAUUAACCGAGUACAAAUCAUUAACUGAGUGCUAUACGAGUACGAACAAUCUUUUUAACGUUAUAGUUAUAAGCACACAGAGUUUCGGGAAUGAAAUAUAAUUUUACUUGGAACAGGGAGUUUUUGACAUGGAUCGAGAAUUUUUUAAAAGAGUAAAAACUGAGAUUCAGAAGAAAAGAAAAUGAUGUAACUAACCAACUUUCGAGGUAAAAUUGGCCAAUGAUAUCAAGGAAUGUAAGUCUUAAUUAAAGUGGCAUCUCACUUUUUGAUAAUCUAGUGAUUCUAAUGC